GUUGGGAGGAAGGUGAAACUAAACAAUGAGCGAGGAGCAGUGGGCACUUGGAUUUAUAGAGAAAAGCCAUGAACGGUGUAGUCAUUGGGGAGCAGAGAUUCCCCGUCUCUGGAAGAAAGCCCUUUGGAGAGAGUCAGUAAAGUCUGAGGAGCUGAUGUGAGGAGGUACAAGUGAAGGCUGCCUCUCAAGCUUCUGGCUGGGACAACUUCAGAGAUACUAUUCAAGAAGUGGAAACCAGAGUCACAUAAAUUACUGGCAUAAAAUUCUCCAGAGUAGAAAAAAUAUAGUACACAAAAUAAAACAGAAAGGGAUGGGAACCAGGAAGGUUCUAGGACAAUUCUUAGAGUCCCAGAAAAUAAUACCCAGGGUGGAAGAGAAGGAAAACCACAGAGGGUAAGUGGAAACAGUAACAGGGUCCCCAGGAGCAUAGUUCAAUCUCCACACCAAGGGAGGGAGGAUGCUCACGUAAAACUGUCAUGAUUUAACUGCAUCCAUAAUUUAACUUUGCAAAGAGUUCUGGUAUAUUUGUGUGCAACUGCUCCAGAUGUUCCACAAACACAUAACUCUUUAAUCACAGUAAUAAAAUCACUCUGCAAAAAGGUAUAAUUCCAGAAAGAUGAAAGCUGCCCCCGUUCUGAAUUUUCUUUUACUUCCCUCUGCCAAUACGAGAAGCUUAAACUGCACAGCACCAAAAGUCAGGUGAGCAGCAGUCACAAAUACAGAGUGGGGUGGGAGGAGGGCAGGUAAAUAAACAGUCUGUGAAUGUACAGAGCUUUGGGAGGAAGCAAAGGCCCAAAACUAAGUAGAUGCACACCAGAGCGUCACGAGGCAAGACUGGGGGUCAAAAACCAGAAGACUCCAGUACAAGUGGACACAAUAAUGAGCCACGAAGCCUGAAAUAUCCGCGAUGGCUUUGGCAGUGAGGGGAAGGUUCAAUGUGCAGAAAAGGUUCCGAGUUACCAAGGCAUGGAGAAGUGCGUUGCAUGGUGACAGGUAUUUGCUAGAAGGACAACAGAAUAGCAUUCUCCCUCUUUGCUGCUGAAGUCCUUAUCUGACACGUGCAGAAGGUGAGCCAGGUUUGUUCACUGUUCUCCACGUGUGUCCUUGCUGGACACCCCCCUGGGUUUCUGCUCCUCCUCGGUCUGAGCACUGUGCUCCUCUUCCCACAGUGGGAAGCAGGUUGUUGAAGUUUCUCUUGUAGCGCCAGAUCCUUUCCUGGAAAGAAGGGCCUGACUUUCUCCAGACCAAGCAGACGGUCGCACCCCUGGAAGGUUCCCCCCUAGACUCGCCUCUGUUGUGCAGAAUUUCUCUGCUGAGGGGAACACCUCGGAAGGAAGCGGAACACAACCUUCUUAGACACUUUGUUCUUGAUGCCAUCAAAAGAGUCUGCAGCCUGAAAGAACCUAUUGCCACAAGCAGCAGUAAAAAUCAAGGUUCCAAGCCCUUCUACUACAGAGAGCAAGGGAGCAGACCCAACAUACAGGAUGAAGAGGAAGAUGGGGCCCCCCAGAGGGGAAGGCGGGAGCAAUGAGAAGACAGUGUGUUCCACCUGUACAAUCAGCUUGGCGCACCCACAGCAGAGACAGUUCCUCUGUCCAGGUGGAGGCAAACCAUUCUCUUCCCAGCGAUUCUCCAUUUUUUCCCAUAUCCCAUCGCACCUUAGCAAAUAAGCAUUCUAACCAG
ensembl:lncRNA